rnacentral:rRNA from 1 species
AUUGAACGCUGGCGGCAUGCUUUACACAUGCAAGUCGAACGGCAGCACGGGCUUCGGCCUGGUGGCGAGUGGCGAACGGGUGAGUAAUGCAUCGGAACGUACCGUGUAGUGGGGGAUAACGUAGCGAAAGUUACGCUAAUACCGCAUACGCCCUGAGGGGGAAAGUGGGGGACCGCAAGGCCUCACGCUAUAUGAGCGGCCGAUGUCGGAUUAGCUAGUUGGUGGGGUAAAGGCCUACCAAGGCGACGAUCCGUAGCGGGUCUGAGAGGAUGAUCCGCCACACUGGGACUGAGACACGGNCCAGACUCCUACGGGAGGCAGCAGUGGGGAAUUUUGGACAAUGGGCGCAAGCCUGAUCCAGCCAUGCCGCGUGAGUGAAGAAGGCCUUCGGGUUGU